UACACAGACAGACAGAUAGCCACACACACACACACACAUACACAUACAUAUGUAAGUGUGUGUGUGGGUGUGUGUGGCAUAUUUGCAGGAACGACAA
rnacentral:precursor_RNA from 1 species